rnacentral:rRNA from 1 species
UACGGAGGAUGCAAGCGUUAUCCGGAAUGAUUGGGCGUAAAGCGUCCGCAGGUGGCAGUUCAAGUCUGCUGUCAAAGACCGGGGCUUAACUUCGGAAAGGCAGUGGAAACUGAACAGCUAGAGUAUGGUAGGGGCAGAGGGAAUUCCUGGUGUAGCGGUGAAAUGCGUAGAGAUCAGGAAGAACAUCGGUGGCGAAGGCGCUCUACUGGACCACAACUGACACUCAGGGACGAAAGCUAGGGGAGCGAAUGGG